GACCCACUGUAGUCCUCUCCAGCCUGACCCAUUCUGUGUGAUUUUUGUGACCCUAAACAAAACAAGACCAUGUGCAUAUAAAGUGGUGUUCCUGUGGUUUUCACUUGGCUGCUGAAGCAGAUAACUAACUUCUCCAGAGAGCUGGGAGUCUGGGGUUGCCUCUGGUGGGCUUGCAGCACUGGAGAGGUUUUAGGAAAAGAAAAAGGCAGCCCUAAGGAAUUGUCUCCAGAGAGCAAGGUGUUCACAGUACCCUGAGAAAGGCUAAAACAACCAUGUAUGCAAUAUCAAAUAGUCAAGUCUAAGUGAACUUAAUCUAGGAGACAAGUGGGAAUGGUGGAGUCCUGAUCUUGUCAUUCAAGAGUAAAGACAUCACAAAAAGCUUCAGGACUAUAGGGCCUGCUCCAGUGGAGAACAAAAGGAGCAUGAGAGCUGAUGGCUGCAUCAGAGGUGCCCAGGCAGUAAUGUAUAGAAGGGAAUUAAACUCCCUUGCAAAGAAGCACAGGACUUGGAGAUGCAGGACAUUGGUUUUGCUGGCUAUUAUAAACUCUUUUCUGGGUGACCUGGGCCAGACCUGAAGGCACACUCCAGCUCACUUGGCCUUCACCCUGGCCUAAAACUAGUGUACUCACAGCUGGCUAUCAAAGCCAUGCCAGUCCCAGUGUAACCUUUCCUCCUGUUUUUACACCAUCCUAAAGAGCUGCAAGGUAAAAGGCACUGGACACUUUCCCCAUGUUAAUAUUAAUUUGGUUGUCCACUUCUGUUAUUCAUCUGUGGCUAGUUUCUCAUGGCUGUUAUAUCCAACUCGACAAGUGCUGACAUUUUUCUCCCAUUCUUCAGACAGUGCUGUGAAUGGAUUUAUGUAACUGUCUUUCCUGCUCUGUGUCUGAUUUUAUAGCUUGAUGGAUAGGUCAAUUUUCAGAAUCAUGGGAUCCACAGUGAUGCUGCUUUUAGUUGCCAUUUUUUUUUCAGGUCUCCUUGACAAAAUGCAGGUGAGUGUUUUGCAGUCAAAAGGGUUUGGAAAUUCUGCUGACUGAUCACUUUUCAACAAUUUGAUUAUUGCUAAAUUCUGUGAGACUCCAGUGAAGUUAAAGGCAAUGGAGAGUGUAUUGUUAUUGGAGCAGCUUUGUGUUUAGCAUGAUUUGCAUUACACUUGACUGCUUUUCAAAUAUGGGCAUCUGAAAAAUACUCUGGGAAAUUUCUAAUUCCUCCUUCUGGGCUCUGGGAAGUGAAUAAAGGUGAAUCUCAUGCACCUUGUGCCA
rnacentral:lncRNA from 1 species